AGUGAACGCUGGCGGUAGGCCUAACACAUGCAAGUCGAACGGCAGCACAGUAAGAGCUUGCUCUUACGGGUGGCGAGUGGCGGACGGGUGAGGAGUACAUCGGAAUCUACUUUUUCGUGGGGGAUAACGUAGGGAAACUUACGCUAAUACCGCAUACGACCUACGGGUGAAAGCAGUGGAUCUUCGGACCUUGCGCGAUUGAAUGAGCCGAUGUCGGAUUAGCUAGUUGGCGGGGUAAAGGCCCACCAAGGCGACGAUCCGUAGCUGGUCUGAGAGGAUGAUCAGCCACACUGGAACUGAGACACGGUCCAGACUCCUACGGGAGGCAGCAGUGGGGAAUAUUGGACAAUGGGCGCAAGCCUGAUCCAGCCAUACCGCGUGGGUGAAGAAGGCCUUCGGGUUGUAAAGCCCUUUUGUUGGGAAAGAAAAGCAGCAGGUUAAUACCCCGCUGUUCUGACGGUACCCAAAGAAUAAGCACCGGCUAACUUCGUG
rnacentral:rRNA from 1 species